ACAGCUUUUAUCUUGGCUUUUUCACUGGCAGCCCCUUCCUCAAGGACUUAACUUGUGCCAGCUGACUCUUAGCACAUCUAAGAAUGCAAUUAAGUGAUAAGAUACUGUGGGGCAAGCAAUAUCUGCAGUUCCCAGGAAUUAGUCCGAUUGAUAAUGCCUAAAGCCCCACGUCUAUCACUUUGUAAUAGUCUUAAGGCCCUUAGACCUAGAACUGUUUACUUUCCUGUAACAAUUUAUCCUUUUAACUUUUUUGCCUACUUUACUUCUGUAAAAUUCUUUUAACUAGACCCGUUUCCCCUUUCUAAACUGAAGUAUAAAAGAAAAUCUAGCCCCUUCUUCGGGGCCAAGUGAACUUUAAGGCUUAGCCAUUUCUUGGCCGCCAGCUAAAUAAGCAGACUCUUAAUUCAUGUGAAAGUGUGGCAUUUUCUCUAACUCAUUCAAGUACAACAUUUGGAGGCCCGAGCGAGAGACGCCACGAGGCGAGAGCCGGGCUCGCUCCGGGCUCCCCGGGAAGGACGGCCGGCUCGUGGGGGGGCGCCACCUAAAAAAAAAUUUUCAGGUCCUCGAAAGGUGACCGUCUUCCAGAGGAGAGCGGAUCGACUACCGUGUGGGUGCCCACAAAAAUUCCACCUCUGAGUCCUCGACUUCUGACCCCGAGGUCAGGCUGACCACCACAGUCCUGUCUUUUCUGCCAGAAGCAAGUCAAGUGCUGUUACAAGAAGAAGUGUGAAAAACAUUUGCCUGAUUAAGAUUUCUAGCACCAUGAAAGUUAUCCUUCUUAGAAAUUCCUAAGGCUCAAUGUUGUGUGGAAGAUUCUGAGAAAGAAAAUAGUUUCCGAUCUUUGGGAUUCCCCUGAGAUGGUCCAAUCUGCAAAAAGUUCAUUGCCAUUUCCAUCAAGGACACUGAGAACAAGAGUCUUAUCCGGAUUGGAUCCUGGGAAUUGAGAAGCUUCAGCAGGUGGGAAAUGCACCCUCCACAGGCUCACACCCUUGUGGGCUGUUUCAGUUACCUAUUGCACCUAAAAUUAGAAACUUUAAACCACCUCAAGUCAUUAUUGCUCAUGACCCUGUGAGUUGCAUGGGGACUUCCUGGCUGGUUUAACCUUGGCUCAUUUGUGUGGCUACCUGCAGCUGGAGGGCCAGCUGGGUGGAACAUCCAGGAUGACCUCAUGCAUGUGCCUGGCAGUUGGUGCUGGUUGUCAGCUGGGGAAACUUGUUUUCCUCCAUGUGGCCCCUCGCCCUGUAGAACCACUCUCCAAAUGGCCCUUUAAGCAGGAUAGCCAAGGUUUGCUUGGUGCCAGCAUCGAAGAGGGCAAAAAUAUAGAAACUACGAGAGGGCUCUCAAGGCCUAAGACUAUAUGCACUCGAAAAAUCUGAGGUCUCAGUUAAUUGAGAAAGUUUAUUUUGCCAAGGUUGAGGACGCACACCUGUGACACAGCCUCAGGAGGUCCUGACAACAUGUGCUUA
rnacentral:lncRNA from 1 species